rnacentral:rRNA from 1 species
CCUACGGGGGGCUGCAGUGAGGAAUAUUGGUCAAUGGCCGGAAGGCUGAACCAGCCAUGCCGCGUGAAGGUCAGUGCCCUAUGGGCGUUAAACUUCUUUUGUGCGGGAGCAAUAAUGGUCACGUGUGGCCAGACGAGAGUACCGUACGAAUAAGCAUCGGCUAACUCCGUGCAAGCAGCGGCGGUAAUACGGGGGAAGCAAGCGUUAUCCGGAUUUAUGGGGUUUAAAGGGUGCGUAGGCUGUGAGGUAAGUCAGCGGUGAAAUGCCCCCGCUCAACGGGGUGAAGUGCCAUUGAUACUGCCUUGCUGGAAUGCGGAUGCCGUGGGAGGAAUGUGUGGUGUAGCGGUGAAAUGCAUAGAUAUCACACAGAACACCGAUUGCGAAGGCAUCUCACGAAUCCGCGAUUGACGCUGAUGCACGAAAGCGUGGGUAUCAAACAGGAUUAGAUACCCCAGUAGUC